rnacentral:rRNA from 1 species
GACGAACGCUGGCGGCGUGCUUAACACAUGCAAGUCGAACGAAGUGGCGAAAGUGUGAGUAAUACGUGAGUAACUGCACUCCUUUUUGGGAUAAGCCUUGGAAACGGGGUCUAAUACCGGAUAGUGGGGGAUGUCUCGCGUCCUAUCAGCUUGUUGGUGGGGUAGUGGCCUACCAAGGCGACGACGGGUAGCCGGCCGGAGAGGGCGAACGGCCACAUUGGGCUGAGAUACGGCCCAAGCGCCUACUGGAGGGAGCAGUGGGGAAUAUUGCACAAUGGGGGAAACCCUGAUGCAGCAUCGCCGCGUGCGGGAUGACGGCCUUCGGGUUGUAAACCGCUUUCAGCCAUGACGCGGUAGUGGCAGAAGAAGAACCGGCUAACUACGUGCCAGUAGCCGCGGUAAUAC